CCCUGCGUGCAACGAACUGUUCUGACAACAGAGGCAGUGACUCUGUCAGAAGCAGGCAUCAAGGAGGGAUAGGAGACCCUAGAGAAAGUGGCUGGGGCAAAAAUAAUGAGUUUGUCUGUAUAGAGAAGGUAAUACUCUAGCUUAAGAUGGACUAAUGUCUGUGUAUUGACUCUCAGCUACCUCCUAGAACAAACACGCAACCAAAGAAGGCAGUGAAUUUCAUCAGCUCCAUCAGUCCAAAUCCAUACCUGCCAAUUCAAGUGCCAUCAGGACCUUGCAUUUCUGACCAUAUGCAGUGUAUUCCCAAGCACGGCCACUGCAUUAUAAAACAGCUUGCAUGCACAACCACAUACCAGAACAGGAGAACAAUGCCUCCUGUUGAAUUCUUCCAGAACAGAGCCAGAGCAAGAAAAAAAAAAAUCUUGCUGUCAGUAUCUUACAGAAUCAUAAAAUUUUUGGAUGCAAGGAACCUCUGGAUGUCUCAAGCCCAACUUCUCCUGGAACAGGACUGUUGCAAAGGACUUCACAGAUGGAAUUUCCACCAUCUCUCUGGUUCACCUGUUCCAGUGCUGCACUGACUUGGUGAAUACAUUUUUUUCUAAUAUAUAGUCCGAAUCUCAAUUGUGUCUGCUGUGCAGCUGGCCACAUCUGAAACAGAAACAGCAGCAACUGCUUCUGCUCAAAGAAGCAAUCUCCCUGCUUGUACAGGGCACAGUAAACAAGUCUUGGUUGGAAGCUUCAUUUUGUCUUCAGUUCAAGGAUGGCUUCCCUUCUAUGUUGUACACAGCAUCUGAUGUACCCUGCAGCACUUGAAACGGAACCACUACCCGCAUAGUACCCAGCAAUUCACUGCUCAGACUCUGCUGCCUCCCUACUGGGCUCCUAUCUUCAUUCUGUGGAUCCCUACUACACCCCACUCUCCCCCACCUCUCCCAGCCCUUCCUCCUUCUCCCCUCCCAAAAUGGUGCUCAGGUCAGGGACAAAGAACAGCAUGUUGCUCAUAGGAGGAGAGGUCUGAGCAGUACGUAUUCAUUCCCCUUCCCCCUGAUCUUGGUCAGGGAUGAAUUAAGAUUACUUCAUUACAUCAGAUUACUGUAGGGAGACCAGAGAGAUCUGCCUGACCCCAAAGCAGACUUGGCUGGCUGAUCUACCCCAGAAGCACCCAAACAGGGCAGGUGAGUGAGGGUUUGAUGGUACACCAUGAGUCCAAGGUCCUUCCGUCUGAGCCGGUCACCACUUCACCUCUGACCGCACAGUAAGCGGCAGCAGUAAUGAUGCACCUUCUGCUACAGCUGCUAGCACUGCUGCCAUGCUUGUGGGCACGAAAUCUCUGCAGCAAGCAUUGAGAUCCACGUCGGUGAGAACUGCGCUUCUGCCAGCACAGCAAGAGGCACGGCGUGUGACAGCAGCCAGGCUCUGGAGAGGGACGCUGCUCCCAUCCAGGCUAGAGGCUCUGGAGCAACCCGCUCCGGUAGUGGAGGCUGGGGUGGGGAUGGCAGACUCCAGUCUGCCCGUGCCAUCCCGGGCUGCCCCUCUCCUUGGGACCCUCGGCAGAGUGGGUGCUGUAGCCGUGCUGCUGGUCUGCAGAGCCCUGGGGUGGAUGCCCCAGGGGAGGGUGCCAGCGCCAGGCUCCAUGCCAGAGGAAGAGAAUCUAGGUCACAGAUCCUCUUUGGGAACAAGUACAUCUGAUGCUGCCAAGGGAAACAAACUGGCUUGAAAGCAACAGGAGAACGGGGAGAAAUAACUCGGUGGUUGAAGCAAGGAUACCACGGGAAAGCUUACGGUUCUGUGGUGGGAGAGGUAUUUCCAGGAAGGAAGAAGAGGAGAAGGAGGAAGAUGUUUGGUUUGCUGGGCAGCCCAUCCUUCCCCAUGGUGCGGAGCAGGUCGUGGUAUUAUUGUAUUGAAAUGGAGCAAGACACCAGGUCAGUAAGAAACGGACACCAUGGGAGCACUUCUACUUUGCCUGAAUGUAUCAUUAUGACUAUUUUUUUAUUUUAUGGAGCAUUUCAUUCUCCACAAUAUUUCCUUCUUGGGUUCCUUUCCACCAUAAAUAAAAUACAUUAUUUUGAGUUGGACCAACUGACACAAAAGAUGCAAUUAAUAAGUUAAUACAGGCCAUCAUAAAUAUUGAUAAAUUCCAGUCACAGCAAACCUUAUUCUGCAAAGUUUCUUAUAAGCCAUACUGUCUUCACUGCAUUGGCUAGCAAAGAUGACAGAAAAAUGUGAAGUGUCCUACACAUCCCAGUUUAUGACCACUAUAGAAAACAUAUUUCCCCAUGAAAAUAAAGUAAGAUAUCGAGCCAUGCAAUUCUAAUCACUUUAACCCAGUUCUGGUAUAUUUUCCUCUGAGUUCUUUUCAGUUUCUACUGUUCAGCUUUGUAGAUGACUACCAAUUGUCCAAUAACAGAGUGGCUCACUGGUCACUGCAAUUGCAGGAAGAAAAGAUGUCUGUGGGUGGGUGUAAAUACCCUUAGUACUAUCACAACACUAUUAUGUGCAGGAAUCCUUGUUUGCCCCAGCAGUAUUAAGCAAUUUUGGAACCACUCUCACCAAAGGUAAAUAAUGCCAAGAUGGACACCUGCUUCUUUAUUGUGUUCCUGUUGUGCCUCCUCAAGGACUGUAGCACAACGCUCAGCCCUCAAAGCCAAACCAAAGCAAUAAACUGAACUUCAACCUUUGGCUUUUAAGAAGAGGCAUGUGUUAAAAGAAAAAGCUGAGGAAACAGCUCAUGGUAACACUGGUAUCGUGCCUAAGGUGGUCAAUGCACUUUUGCACAAGAACUCCUGGUGGAAACCAGCAGCUCUAGCAAGGGAACGUCUCUCUUCAGUAUCUACAGCAGCUUUGCAUGGGGACAGGACCUUGUUUCUUCCCAGAAAAUGAUGUUUGGCUGAACAGAAUAACAUUUGGCCAGACCUGAGGGGGAUUUUUAUGAGUUCCAUGUGGGAUGCUGAAGCCUUGGCUUAAUUGGCCUCAAAUCCCCCAGAAAGAUGCACAUCCUGUAUCCACAUCCACUCAGCCUGCUCUCCUUUUCAACCUUGUUGCUGUAACUAUUGAUUUCUCUUGCUUUAGUCCAGUCUGAUGCUUGUGUAAAUCAAGUUGGUUGCUACAGUUUGGUGUGUGUCAGGAAAGUAAAAUUCACAGCCUUUCUUGCUUCCCUCCUACUGCCAGUGAAGUUUUAAUUUUGGAACUUAGCAUGGAAAUCUGCACUCUACCCAAAGCAAUUUCAUGCCCCACAAAUUCCUCGUCUGUGAAACUUAAUGAAAUGGCUUUUUAUAACAUCAAUAUCAUGCAUAUCCUGGAUGGCCAGCCCUGUGCAAUUCUGAAACUCACACAUGGCUGAUGGAUCCUGUGAGUAUUUGGGUACCGUGUUGCCUGUGGAGACUCAGACAUCUGGUUUGUUGAGGAGCCAGGCCUGAGUAACUUAGAAGCACAAAUCCCACUGACUCAAAUUAUUUAGUACCUUUUGCAAAAAAAAAUUGAUUUGGGAAGAGGGAUAUUCUGUGUUGACAUGAUGAUUAAUUUUCAUUGAAAAGAAAUGCAAGUCCACACACAACUUUAGCAAAUUGCCUGGUGAAAUGGAUCCUUUCAAAACACACACUAGUCCUCAGCCCUUGAACAGUUUGCAUCUUUGCUUAAAUUCUUGUUCACGCCCUUGCAUGGCAGGUCCUUUCCCCACCCCACCCCACUCCAUGACAGAUCCAUCCUUUUUUUUCCCGCUCCUGCAAGGCGGAUGGUCAGCCCCUGGUACACUGCAAAUAAGGCGGCGUGGGGCUAGAUCCCACCAGCUCUGAGCUGCAGCAGGACCAACCUGGGACCGUCUCGGUUCCCACCGCCCUGCCUGGCCACAGCCAUGGGAGCCUGGUGGGGGGUGGGCAAAGGCUGCUGGCGCGGUUGUUGCUCCCGGGUAAGAGGAGCCACAUCCAUAUUACUUUCCCCAGCCCUCUCGAUGCUGCUCUGCUUCCCCGCCUCCAUCCAUGCCUCCCUGUCCCUUUGGGGCUCCAGUAGUGCCUGGAUCCUGCUCUUCCCACCCAUCCACCGACUCUAGCACGCUGCAGCCCAAGAGUGUUUGUGUUUGCAGAAACCACCAUGACUCCAAGUGUAAUGAAGUGGGGGAUGACAAGAGGCGCAGGAAAACAGGAAGGGUUUUUGCUGGUGGCUGGGACAGGGCAUCAUCAUCCAGGCUCGUCAUUUCUUUUGGACAAAGUCUAGCCAGUCCGGUGGACUGAAGGGCCUGGCAGGGGGAGAUCCAGGAUGUGGGACCAGACACUUACCAGGCCUGGACUGAAACCUGCCCCUUUCUUCACCCUCUCCUCUACUAAGCAUAAUGCAGAGUAACUCCAUGAUGUCCAUACAUAAAACCCUACUUUUAUGUCACAGGGACAGAGGCAGCACCCUGGCAGGGCUGGGGAAAGGUGGGGGGGUGUUCAGCAGCCAUGGGCAAUGGGUCCUGCACUCUGGAGGUGGGAGGGACUGGUCAUGCUGCAUAUUACAGUAGUUGCCAGUGGUUAUCAGCUGUAGCUGGGAAAGGAGGCUGGAUGCUGCAGGCAGGACAGAUAGAUAUGUUUCUCUCUUCAUCCUCCCUCAGCCAGCAACCAUAACAUGCGGACUGUCAUUAAAAUGUCUGUUCUGUGACACUGAAAAAAAGCCAAUGCACAGUGUAAAAGGGAGGUUUACUGACGGAAAAGCAUACGUGAUUAUGAUACAGAUCUGGAGAGAUGUGCCAUGAAAGAAAACAGAGAAUCAGACACUAGCUCAAACGAUGUCACAGACUCCCACUGUGAUUAGUAAGGUGAAAUGGCCCUUUCCAGGACUUAAUGACAGCAGAAAAUAGGGUGCUUGACCACUUGUUCAACAUUUAUGAUGGUCCUGCAGGGGAAAAUCCAAAAGAAAAUAACCUCAGUGAGAACAAACCAACAGCUGCAGAAUAUAAAAUACGGUUUCAGGAUACAGGGUAGUCAGCCCCUUCUGUGCAAAACAGACAAAAGCUGGACCAAGGGCUGGCAGAAAGCUGUGCCUGUACCUCUCGGGAACUGCUCAGCAGAUAACAGCCAGCAUAUCUGCUGUGCUGAGCAGGACACAGACCUGUACCUCCCCUACAGCAGGACAGCAUUGUACCUCUGACUAAUCAACACACUGCCUCCAUGAUUCAUGUCACCU